rnacentral:rRNA from 1 species
UACGUAGGGUGCGAGCGUUAAUCGGAAUUACUGGGCGUAAAGCGUGCGCAGGCGGUCUAUUAAGACAGGUGUGAAAUCCCCGGGCUUAACCUGGGAACUGCGCUUGUAACUGAUAGGCUUGAGUGUGGCAGAGGGGGGUGGAAUUCCAGGUGUAGCAGUGAAAUGCGUAGAUAUCUGGAGGAACACCGAUGGCGAAGGCAGCCCCCUGGGCUAACACUGACGCUCAUGCACGAAAGCGUGGGGAGCAAACAGG